CCCAGCUGUGGGCAACAGCCUAGGUUGCAUUAUACCUAGGCAAGUGUUACACUACUGGGAGAAGAGCAGCUAACAGUUGGCAGGCAUCCUAGAACUGGUUAAUGCCAAAUCUGUGUUAAAAAU
rnacentral:snoRNA from 1 species